ensembl:lncRNA
GGCCCCGCGGCUCCUUGUCUGCUUCUCCGCAGAGGCGGGGCCGGGCACCGGCCAAUCAACGGCUGUGCUCUGCGCCCGGGGCCCCUCGCCACACCCUCAGCCCUGCCCAUCGGGCCGCGGUUGCCGUGGCGACUGUUUGGCGCGAAGGCAGGAGGUUGACGUCAACGGAGCAAACGCCAGGGGCCCUGAGGAAGGGUCUGGAAAGGGGGGGGGGUGGUGUUCGACCCCCACACAAAGAAGGGGGGGGCACACGGAGAAAGCCUUACCAACGACUCCCAAAUGCAAACCGUCUGAAGAGACCAAACAAACAAACAAACAACCCCGUACAUUUGUCUAAGAAAGUGAAAAGCUGGUGGGCAAAAAUAUGUAUGUUGAAGUUAGAGACAAACGAGAAAGUGGGAGACGAGACUUUCCUGCCUGGGACACACGAAAGACCCGGGGCUAACUUCCCCAGUAAACGAAGAACUCUUGGAAACCGAUAGCGUACAGACCAAAUCGCGCCUGAAAAAUGGGCAGAAAGGGAGGACACGGGCAACUCACAGAAAAGCACAAAUGGCUGACGGACCUGCGGGACAGAACUCAUGACCCGACUGCCAAAGACCGAAAACCCGAGCGCGCGGACUCGCGCGGCGCCGCCGCCGUGCAGCCCGGCCGCCGCCGUGCGGGGCGCCCCGCCGCCUGAGGACCUGGGUGCGGCGGGCAGCGCGGGCCGCGGCCGGACGACCACCGAGGACUCGGGCGGCAGUCACACCGGCGGUCCGGCCGAAGCGUGCAGACCCGACCGCUAAUGAGACGAUGGAAAUUCUGUGAUAAUCACUUCAUGAUGUCUGUGAGUCAAACCGUGACACUGUAUGCCUUACACCUACAUGCUGGAUGUCAGAGAUAUCUCCGUGAAACUGGAAGAAAAAAAAUAAGAGUCCUCCGUGGCGUAAGUGGGGACACGGCCUAGAGAGAAGACUCCUUUCGUUGUCCACAAAGACGUGGGUUUUGACAUCUGUGGAGGUGGAAUUCUGUCCAGUCACACGUAUGGUGUGGAACACAGGGGAAUUCAAGAGCGAGGUCUGGGCUGGGAUGGAGACGUGGGGGCUGAGCAGAGCCGGGGAGAGGAUGAUAUGGUGUGGGGAGAGGAGAGAGAGGGGGAAUAAAAUAAACAUUCAUUAAAAUGUUUUAAAUGAAAAAAAAAAAAACUUAUUAGUAAUCACCUCCUUUAACACGUGAAUUUUGGGGGAUGCAACUCCAUCUAUAACGGAAGGUCUGGGGUGGGGGCCUGAGAU